UAGGGAAUCUUCCGCAAUGGACGCAAGUCUGACGGAGCAACGCCGCGUGAGUGAAGAAGGAUUUCGGUUCGUAAAACUCUGUUGUUAGAGAAGAACAGCGCAUAGAGUAACUGUUAUGCGUGUGACGGUAUCUAACCAGAAAGCCACGGCUAACUACGUGCCAGCAGCCGCGGUAAUACGUAGGUCCCGAGCGUUGUCCGGAUUUAUUGGGCGUAAAGCGAGCGCAGGCGGUUAGAUAAGUCUGAAGUUAAAGGCAGUGGCUCAACCAUUGUAGGCGGUGGAAACUGGGUAACUGGAGUGCAGAAGGGGAGAGUGGAAUUCCAGGUGUAGCGGUGAGAUGCGUAGAUAUAUGGAGGAACGCCGGUGGCGAAAGCGGCUCUGUGGUCUGUAGCUGACGCUGAGGCUCGAAAGCGUGGGGAGCGAACAGG
rnacentral:rRNA from 1 species